rnacentral:lncRNA from 1 species
CUGAAGAUGGUGGCGUUCCUCUGGCUGCUGCCGCACCUCCUGCACGCGUGUGCGUCCCAGCAGCCGUGCGGCCCCGGCCGCUACUUCGACGGGCUGAGCGAGGAGUGCGAGCCGUGCGCCCCGCGCUGCCACUCGCCCCCGAGGGCCUGCGCCGCCGCCUGCACCAAGCCAGCUGACGUUCCCGCGCCGGAACCCGCGGCCGCCGGUUCCCCCCGACUGCUGCUGAUCCUGCUGGUCUUCCUGGCGGGCGGGUCCCUCAUCACGCUGCUGCUGGCUCUGCGCCGACACGCACGCCGACACACAGUGCCCUGUCAGGAGCAGGCAGGCCCAUCACUACCAGAGGAAGGGUCAGAGGUCACGGACCUGACGGACGUAGCAGAAGAACGGACCCACGGUCGUGGACCCACUCUCUACUCGCCCUCCACAGAGGAGGGGUCGGAGGUCACGGCACGGACCCACGCCCACGGACCCACUCUCUACUCGCCCUCCACAGAGGAAGGGUCGGAGGUCACGGCACGGACCCGCGCCCACGGACCCACUCUCUACUCGCCCUCCACAGAGGAAGGGUCGGAGGUCACGGCACGGACCCACGCCCACGGACCCACUCUCUACUCGCCCUCCACAGAGGAGGGGUCGGAGGUCACGGCACGGACCCACGCCCACGGACCCACUCUCUACUCGCCCUCCACAGAGGAGGGGUCGGAGGUCACGGCACGGACCCGCGCCCACGGACCCGCCCUGCCCCUGCCCUCCACAGAGGAAGGCCUGACUGUCCUGGUCACCACAAAAACCCGCCAGCAGGGGGCGACAGGCAGCG